rnacentral:rRNA from 1 species
GAUCAUGGCUCAGGAUGAACGCUGGCGGCGUGCUUAACACAUGCAAGUCGAACGAAGCACUUUAAUCGAUUUCUUCGGGAUUGAAGUUUAGUGACUGAGUGGCGGACGGGUGAGUAACGCGUGGGUAACCUGCCUCACACAGGGGGAUAACAGUUGGAAACGGCUGCUAAUACCGCAUAAGCGCACAGUACCGCAUGGUACAGUGUGAAAAACUCCGGUGGUAUAAGAUGGACCCGCGUCUGAUUAGCUUGUUGGUGAGGUAACGGGCCCACCAAGGCGACGAUCAGUAGCCGGCCUGAGAGGGUGAACGGCCACAUUGGGACUGAGACACGGCCCAAACUCCUACGGGAGGCAGCAGUGGGGAAUAUUGCACAAUGGGGGAAACCCUGAUGCAGCGACGCCGCGUGAGUGAUGAAGUAUUUCGGUAUGUAAAACUCUAUCAGCAGGGAAGAUAAUGACGGUACCUGACUAAGAAGCACCGGCUAAAUACGUG